rnacentral:rRNA from 1 species
AGGACGAACGCUGGCGGCGUGCUUAACACAUGCAAGUCGAGCGGAAAGGCCUUUCGGGGUACUCGAGCGGCGAACGGGUGAGUAACACGUGAGUAAUCUGCCCAUCGCUUCAGGAUAGCCAUCGGAAACGGUGAUUAAUACUGGAUAUGACAUUCCUUCGCAUGUUGGGGUGUGGAAAGUUUUUCGGCGGUGGAUGUGCUCGCGGCCUAUCAGCUUGGUUGGUGGGGUGAUGGCCUACCAAGGCUUUGACGGGUAGCCGGCCUGAGAGGGUGACCGGCCACACUGGGGACUGGAGACACGGCCCAGACUCCGUACGGGA